rnacentral:rRNA from 1 species
CCCUAUGGGGUGCAGCAGGCGAGAAACCUUUGCAAUGUGCGCAAGCACGACAAGGUUAAUCCGAGUGUUUCCUGCUAAAGGAAUCUUUUGUUAGUCCUAAAAACACUAGUGAAUAAGGGGUGGGCAAGUUCUGGUGCCAGCCGCCGCGGUAAAACCAGCACCUCAAGUGGUCAGGAGGAUUAUUGGGCCUAAAGCAUCCGUAGCCUGCUUUGUUAGUUUUCGGUUAAAUCCAUAUGCUCAACGUAUGGGCUGCCGGGAAUACUGCAAAGCUAGGGAGUGGGAGAGGUAGACAGUACUCGGUAGGAAGGGGUAAAAUCCUUUGAUCUAUUGAUGACCACCUGUGGCGAAGGCGGUCUACCAGAACACGUCCGACGGUGAGGGAUGAAAGCUGGGGGAGCAAACCGGAUUAGAUACCCGGGUAGUCCCAGCUGUAAACUAUGCAAACUCGGUGAUGCAUUGGCUUGAUGCCAAUGCAGUGCCGCAGGGAAGCCGUUAAGUUUGCCGCCUGGGAAGUACGUACGCAAGUAUGAAACUUAAAGGAAUUGGCGGGGGAGCACCACAAGGGGUGAAGCCUGCGGUUCAAUUGGAGUCAACGCCAGAAAUCUUACCCGGAGAGACAGCGGAAUGAAAGUCAAGCUGAAGACUUUACCAGACAAGCUGAGAGGGGUGCAUGGCCAA